AGCUUUCGCGGUUAUCUGUUCAAUAUGGGUGGACCAUGAUAGGUCGGAAUCAAGGUGAACGCCAAGAUAAGAAUACGCGGACGCACGAGGAACUGGAGCGGUACUUAUGGCGUAGGAGAAAUCAGAGGUUAGUUUCUUGCGGCUAAUGGAAACAACUU
rnacentral:lncRNA from 1 species